rnacentral:rRNA from 1 species
AACUUUCAACAACGGAUCUCUUGGUUCCCGCAUCGAUGAAGAACGCAGCGAAACGCGAUAGCUAAUGUGAAUUGCAGAAUUCAGUGAAUCAUCGAGUCUUUGAACGCACAUUGCGCCCAUCGGUAUUCCGAUGGGCAUGUCUGUUUGAGCGUCAUU